rnacentral:rRNA from 1 species
GCGACCUACCCAUGAGCAGGAUGAAGCGAAAGUAAAAUUUCGUGGAGGUCCGAACCCACGAGCGUUGAAAAGCUCGGGGAUGACUUGUGGGUAGCGGUGAAAUUCCAAUCGAGCCCGGAGAUAGCUGGUUCUCCCCGAAAUAGCUUUAGGGCUAGCCUCAAGGUGAGAGAUACGGAGGUAGAGCACUGAAUGUCCUAGGGGGUAUUGCACCUACCGAAGACUAUCAAACUCCGAAUGCCGUCAUCUUAUACUUGGGAGUCAGACUGUGGGUGAUAAGAUUCAUAGUCGAAAGGGCAACAGCCCAGAUCGUCAGCUAAGGUCCCUAAAUGUAAGUUAAGUGGUAAAGGAUGUGGGAUUGCACAGACAACCAGGAUGUUGGCUUAGAAGCAGCCACUCAUUCAAAGAGUGCGUAAUAGCUCACUGGUCGAGUGAUCCUGCGCCGAAGAUUUCCGGGGCUAAAACUUACUACCGAAGCUACGGCAUCAGUAAUGAUGGGUAGGGGAGCUUCCCAUACGGGUUGAAGCAUGACCGUAAGGACAUGUGGACAGUAUGGGAGUGAGAAUGUUGGCAUGAGUAGCGAGAUGUGGGUGAGAAUCCCACAGGCCGUAAACCCAAGGUUUCCAGGGGAAGGUUCGUCCGCCCUGGGUUAGUCGGGACCUAAGCUGAGGCCGAAAGGCGUAGGUGAUGGACAACAGGUUGAUAUUCCUGUACUACCGAUAACCGUUUGAGAGAAGGGAUGACACAGUAGGAUAAGCUAAGCACACUGUUGGUUAUGUGUGCCCAAGCAUUGAGGCAGUCAAAGUAGGCAAAUCCGCUUUGAUAAUGCUGGGAUGUGAUGGGGAGCGAAAUUUAGUAGCGAAGUAGCUGAUUUCACACUGUCAAGAAAAGUCUCUAUCGAGGUUAAAGGUACCCGUACCGCAAACCGACACAGGUGGGUGAGGAGAGUAUCCUAAGGCCAGCGAGAGAACUGUUGUUAAGGAACUCGGCAAAAUGACCCCGUAACUUAGGGAUAAGGGGUGCCACCAUCAGGUGGCCGCAGAGAAUAGGCCCAAGCGACUGUUUACCAAAAACAUAGGUUUCUGCUAAGUCGCAAGACGAUGUAUAGGAGCUGACGCCUGCCCGGUGCUGGAAGGUUAAGGGGAUCUGUUAGAGCAAUCGAAGCAGUGAACUUAAGCCCCAGUAAACGGCGGCCGUAACUAUAACGGUCCUAAGGUAGCGAAAUUCCUUGUCGGGUAAGUUCCGACCCGCACGAAAGGCGUAACGAUUUGGGCACUGUCUCAACAACAGACUCGGUGAAAUUGUAAUUCC